rnacentral:lncRNA from 1 species
AUUUCGCGCGCUGUCAUAUUGAAAAGAAGAAGUAACUGUCGAGAAUUCGUCGUAAACGUGGAAAAUUUAAUAUACGAUACGUAGAUAUUGGUUUAAAAUGUCUGACGUAUUGUUUUUUUCUUGAAACAUAAUAUCGGCCUGUUGGAAAUAUAUCCUUUCCAAGAAUUCGACGACUCUUGUUCGUACACGCUCGACUUAUCGACGACAUCCACCCCACCCCUCGCUAACCGAAUUCUGUUUGGUAAAUCGGCACACGGGAGUCAUUCUAUCGACGAAAAUCGGAUUGAUUAGAUGUAUACUCUGCAACAAGUGUUCUCUUUCUACUACGUAGUAUUUUUGUAGUGAUUCUUCUAUCAAAUUCACGCUACUGCUAUGUCUAAUUAAUAUUAUUGCUCGAUUGCGAGGAAAAUUUGGAGGCCACGAAAUUCGAAAAAACGCCACCGGUGCCUGAUUAAUUCGAUAAUUUUCUAUGCAGAUAGGGUUUUUCAUAAUUUCCAUUUUUUCCUCUUCUCUGGGAAGGAUGUAGCGGUACUUCAAAUUUGAGCAUGUAUGUCACUUCUUCCCGUUCUUCCUGUCCCCUGGAAAAGACUUACUGGUGCUUCAAAACCAAAGAACUUUUCUCCCAUUGAAUUCGAUGAUUCCAGUUUGACGAACUUCCUUGGAUCAGAACAAUAUCGAAGACAACAUUCUUCACAUCUAAUCGUGAGUCGCAUGUAUUUUUGUUCCUCCGGUCUCUCAAUCAUGUCGAAAGAUGAAAGGUCCGAAUCGACACGAGUGAUUGGUUGUAUGCGUAGAAUUUUUGACGAGCAUAAUGACCGCGGGUAUUUAUUGUACCCGUGAAUAGUAACAUUUUCUUGUCUAUCAUACAAGAUACAUAUUACAGAAGUGUACGAUUCUGUAUGUAGGUGCUUCAUUUGUAAGAUGUGUUCUAUUCGAUUUCUUAUUUGUAAUUUCAUAGGAAACUUUUGUUUCGGUUCAGGCCACUACUAUGUUGAAUCGAUAACGUCGCAUGCGACAUAAAAAUGGUAUAAGAGUAAAAUUACCUCAAAAAUGUGGGGUGUGAAAAAGCAUUGCAUAUCAGGUCUAUUCUAUAUCUCGUCGGUGAUUAGAACCACAGUUAAAAACGACAGACGAUCUCGUUCUCAGAUAAUAAUGUGGAUUUACGUACACAGGGUACGACAGUUGCAUGGUGCAAUCGAUUGCUUUCAAUGAGAUACAAUUUCGCUUCUAGAUGGCGCAACAAUGUUCUGUCUAUGAGAUUCGCAUCUUUAAUUAUUCUUAUAUCUAACAAUAAAUUUAUAUGUUAAACAAGGGGGUGGGGUGCAUUUGCUCUAUGAAGCAUAUAUAACUUGCAAUUAAUAUUUUCUUAAUGCAGCGAUUGAAUAAGAUAAAUACAUACUUCGUAUAUCAUUUUUUGGCUAUGAUCGAAUUCAAAAACAGAGUAAAUAAUUUAACUUAAAUUCUUAAAAUAAUUAUUAAAUGACAAGUUGCAUAAAAGUAACGUCAUAUUCUGUAUAAAUUGUAUUUAAGAUUUUCAUUGUUUAAUGUUAUUCAAGUCAUCAUAUCUAUCGAACGAUAAUAGUAUAAAAUUAAAGACUACUUAAGAAAGAAAAGGAUUACUUUAGUAUAUAGUGAUUAUGCUUAUACGUAUACAACGUUUCAUAAUCUAUUAAUACAAGUUCGUUAUAUCAUUAUGCAUUUUAGGAUUUUAUUAGAACUUUGGUAUUCAAUAAACCUUGUCUUCCACCGUGAAAUUAUGUAUGGUAUAUAACCAUAUCUGUUCUUCAAAUUGCAGUUGGUAGUCGAUGCACUUUGUAGACAUUAUGCAAAAAAAUGUACGCCUGUUAGAUGAAUAAAU